AAAGGGAGACCUAAUUCAGGUAGGAGACGAAAAAAAAGUAGUCGCUACCAAGAAUCAAUCCCAAAAGGUCGGAGCGAGGCGAAAUUGGCUUUCAAACUAGGUUCUGGGUUCACACAAGACCUGAAUCAGGAACAAGGGCUAUUAGCUCAGGUGGUUAGAGCGCACCCCUGAUAAGGGUGAGGUCCCUGGUUCGAGUCCAGGAUGGCCCACCUGCACAGGUGGCAAAAACAAGAGAAGCGAGGAAUCAGCACCCGCUCUUACCUACAUAGUAAGAGAGAAUGCUGGCUCUGAGUACAGAGUCCAGAGGAACCUUGAAAACUGCAUAGAGCUAGGUGAAAAAGCCAAAAAAGAAGACCGCAAG
rnacentral:tRNA from 1 species